rnacentral:rRNA from 1 species
CGACGUAAAAGUGGGAGCUUGCUUCCUUAAUCUUAGCGGCGGGAGGGGUUGAGUACCCCGUAGGGCAACCUGCCCUGCAGACUGGGAUACUCCGGGAAACCGGAGCUGAUACCGGGUAAUACAUCGCACCGCAUGGGAAAUGUUGAAAGUUGGCUUUCGAGCUAACACUGCAUGAUGGGCCCGCGACCCUUUAGCUAGUUGGUAAGGUAAUGGCUUACCAAGGCGACGAUUCGUAGCCCGACCUGAUGGGAGUGAUCGGACCACACUGGGAUCUAAGACACGGCCAGACUCCUACGGAGGCAGCAGUAGGGAAUCUUCCGCAAUGGACGAAAUUCUGAUGAAUCACCGCCCAGUGAGUCACCAAGGCCUUCGGGUCUUAAAGCUCUGUUGUUAGGGAAGAACAAGUACCGUUCGAUUAGGCUGUUACCUUGACGGUCCCAAUCCAGAAAGCCACGACUAACUACGUGCGAGCAGCCGCGGUAUUACGUAGGUUGGCAAGCGUUGAUCCGGAAUUAUUGGGCGUAAAGCGAGCGCAGGCGGACUUUUAAGCCUGAUGUGAAAGCCCACGGCUCAACCGUGGAGGGUCAUUGGAAACUGGAGGACUUGAGUCCAGAAGAGAAGAGUGGAAUUCCACGUGUAGCGUUCAAAUGCGUAGAUAUGUGGAGGAACACCAGUGGCGAAGGCGGCUCUCUGGUCUGUAACUCACGCUAAUCCGAAAUGCGUGGAGAGCAACCAGGUUCAGAUACCCCUGGUAGUCCACGCCGUAAACGAUGAGUCCUAGGUGGUUGAGGGUUCCACCCUCAGUGCUGAAGUUAACACUUUAGGCACUCCACCUGGGAGAGUACGACCGCAAGGUUGAAACUCAAAGGAAUUGACGGGGGCCGGAACAAGCAAGUUGGAGCAUGUGGUUUAAUUCGAAGCAACGCGAAGACCUUACCAGGUCUUGACAUCCGCAUGAACAAUCCAUGGAGACAGGGAAGUUCCUCUUCGGGGGACAGAGUGACAGGUGGUGCAAUGAUGUCG